CCUACGGGAGGCAGCAGUAGGGAAUCUUCCACAAUGGGCGAAAGCCUGAUGGAGCAACGCCGCGUGGGUGAAGAAGGUCUUCGGAUCGUAAAACCCUGUUGUUAGAGAAGAAAGUGCGUGCGAGUAACUGUUCACGUUUCGACGGUAUCUAACCAGAAAGCCCCGGCUAACUACGUGCCAGCAGCCGCGGUAAUACGUAGGUGGCAAGCGUUAUCCGGAUUUAUUGGGCGUAAAGGGAACGCAGGCGGUCUUUUAAGUCUGCUGUGAAAGCCUUCGGCUUAACCGGAGUAGUGCAUUGGAAACUGGGGGACUUGAGUGCAGAAGAGGAGAGUGGAACUCCAUGUGUAGCGGUGAAAUGCGUAGAUAUAUGGAAGAACACCAGUGGCGAAAGCAGCUCGCUGGUCUGUAACUGACGCUGAGGUUCGAAAGCGUGGGUAGCAAACAGGAUUAGAUACCCUUGUAGUC
rnacentral:rRNA from 1 species